rnacentral:rRNA from 1 species
UACGUAGGGGGCAACGUUGUCCGGAAUCAUUGGGCGUAAAGAGCGUGUAGGCGGCCCGGUAAGUCCGCUGUGAAAAGUCCAGGGCUCAACCCUGGGAUGCCGGUGGAUACUGUCGGGCUCGAGUCCGGAAGAGGAGUGUGGAAUUCCUGGUGUAGCGGUGAAAUGCGCAGAAUAUCAGGAGGACACCAAUGGCGAAGGCAGCACUCUGGGACGUGACUGACGCUGAGACGCGAAAGCGUGGGGAGCAAACAGG